UCCUGUUACCUAACUGUCAAAACUACGUCACGGGGUCACAGGCUUAUGCAUCGAGUGCCGGAACAUCGAGCCGCCGCCGGCAAACGACGCAUGCGCACUGAGGACUCCAUCCCUAAUUCUGAAUUUGAGCUGGGAAAACGUCAGGGAUUGAAGAAAACAGACACCUUCGCAAUGGAGAACAACCAGGAAUCACUGCUCACUGAAAUAAUGAGAUCCCUUCAAUCAAGAAUCAGUCAUGCUGUUGGUCAGCCUAAUUUAGAUUUGGACUAUUUUCAGUAUGUUGUGAAUCAGGAGGUGUUUAUACUGACAUCUGCUCAGACCAUUUUUCCGAUACCCUUGGAUAUUGUGGAGUGCCUAUUAAGCCUUCAAAGAAAAAUUAAUGAAGCUCUCUCUCAAGACAUGCCUAAAGUUUUUGUUACAGAGGAAAGGAGUGGAUGUGGACGACCAAAACUGCAAGUUUCUGAAGACAUGCUAACCCAAAUGAUAGAGCUGUCCUUGCCUGUGUCAUGUAUUGCAAACUUGCUGGGAGUAAGUGAAUCCACAGUCUUCCGCCGCAUGCGUGAUCAUGGGUUGUCAUCAAGGUCUUGCUACAGCAACUUGACUGACUCAGUACUAGACAAUGCAGUUUUGUUGAUAAAAAACAGACUACCAAAUGCAGGGUACAGGAUGGUUAAAGGUUGUUUGCAAGCAGAGGGUCACAAAAUUCAAUGGGAACGCAUCAAAAAUUCAAUGCACAGAGUGGAUGCCGCAGGAGUUUUGGACAGAUUGAUGCACCUUGGAUGCAUUGUCAGAAGGACAUACAGUGUGCGACAUCCACUGUCCUUAGUACACAUUGACACCAAUCAUAAGUUGAUCAGGUACAAUAUUGUCAUUUUUGGGGGAAUCGAUGGGUUUUCAAGAAAGGUAAGUACAUCCUUGCCAGAAAGACAGCUUGUGGUGCAUUAUAAUUUCUAAUAUAUUAAUUUUCUUUUUGUUUUUUUGUGAGCAGAUCAUGUACCUGGAGCCUGCAACAAACAAUAGAUCACAGACUGCUCUCACAUUUUUCCUGAAGGCUGUGGAAAACCAUGGAUGGCCAUCCAGGUAUCUUGUGAAAUACUUCUCUUUUUCUUAAAUUUCAAUUGUUUUGGUCUCUUAUUUUCUUUUGUAAUUUCAGGGUCAGAGGCGAUGAGGGUGUUGAAAACGUGGGAAUAGCUGAAGCCAUGUUUAGUGUGAAAGGGACUGGAAGAGGCAGCUUUAUUGCUGGAAAGAGCGUUCACAAUCAAAGGUCUUCCCUUUUGCACUCAAUAUAAUUUUUUUUUAUACAAAAGUGAUCAUAUGACAUCAUUUGGCUAUUUAACUACCAUCUGAAAUGAGUGAAACAAUUCUAUUUGUCUUGUAGCUUUUCUUAAAUUAUGCCAUCUAAUCAUAUCUUUUUUUUUUGCACUAGGAUUGAGCGUCUAUGGCGUGACGUUUGGACAAGUGUAACGCAGCUUUACUAUGAAGUCCUUCACGGCCUAGAGGAAGACGGGCUCCUGGAUCUCUCAGAUAUCCUGCAUUUGUUUUGUGUACAUUAUAUCUUUCUUCCUCGACUGGCAAAUGCACUUCAUACCUUUACCGAGGGAUGGGACAAUCACCCUCUGAAGAGUGAGGGGGGCCUCUCACCCAAUCAGCUCUGGGUUUUGGGACACAUGCAAAGACCUGCUGCAGACACUGAAGAAGACCCACAGAACCUGAAGCUGUUUGGAACUGACUGGGAGACAUUUGACUGUGUCAGAGAAGAACCUGUUGGUGUUCAAGUUCCAGAAACUGAGUGUCCUCUGGAUCCAGCUGCAAUGGAAGCCAUCAAGUCCGUUAUCAACCCUCUGGCACCAUCUCAAUCAUUCGGGAGAGACUUAUUUCUAACUAUGAUUCAGCUUGUUCAAAGUGUUGCUGGAACAAGUCACACCAUUUAGGGACUUCCUAAGCUGUCACACAAACCUCACAUUUCCCAAAAUGCUUUUAGUCAAAUAA